AGGAGCAAUUUGCUGUUCACGGUUCCUGGUCUUUUGCAGAACCCCUGUGGUCUCUAACUGCUUCACAUCCAGCAUCAAGUUUCUGCUUGGAUUCCAACAAACGACCCAGAGUUUAAAGAGUCUCUGUGCGAUAGAAGAACGGAGAGAGAGAGCAACACAGAACGAUUUAUCCAGCUGGACUCCAGGUUCGUCCUUGGGAACUGCCAGCGUCUGAAAUGAAGGUGCCACAGAAACUGAAUGAGGAGCCGGAGGGUCCAACCGCCCAAGGACGUCCAUCAGUCUUCGGACGAACAGAACCAGCUGGACCGCUUCCUCCAAUCCCUCAUCUUUCACUUUCAACUGAAACAGUCAGACAGCUGAGGGGAGAUGAACACGGAGAGGAAUCGGGGUGGAUCCCAUCAGAACCAGCGGGGAUACCACGGGUCGAGGUCGGGAACAACGAAGAGCAAAGACAGAAACAUUGAGAUGUGAAUAUAAAAUAAAGAUGUGGUGCAGGGAUGGAGCUCUAGUUUCCAUGGGUUUGCUGGAAAACGAGGACUGGACUCCAGACUGGUAAAAACUGCAGCCUGACAGGAGCAAAAGACGUACAA